rnacentral:sRNA from 1 species
GCUGCGGCAAAAUCCGUAGCCGGAGUUAGCGUUCCGAGACUUACACUGUGGUGUUAUGUGAUAAUGCCGCACGCUUUGAUUCA